rnacentral:rRNA from 1 species
UACGGAGGGGGCGAGCGUUAUUCGGAAUUAUUGGGCGUAAAGGGCGCGUAGGCGGCUGUACAAGUCAAAGGUGAAAUCCCUCGGCUACAACUGAGGAACUGCCUUUGAAACUGUACGCUUGAGGCCGGGAGGGGUAGCGGAAUUCCCAGUGUGAGCGGUGAAAUGCGUAGAGAUUAGGAAAGAACACCGAUGGCGAAGGCACUUUACUGGGCUAGUUA